rnacentral:rRNA from 1 species
AGCAGCCGCGGUAAUUCCAGCUCCAAUAGCGUAUAUUAAAGUUGUUGCAGUUAAAAAGCUCGUAGUUGAAUUUCGGGAUUGGCACAUCGGUCGUGCCUCACGGGGUAUGAACUGGUGUAGUCAAUUUCUCACCUUCUGGAGAACCGUGAUGUCCUUAAUUGGGUGCCGCGGGGAACCAGGACCUUUACUUUGAAAAAAUUAGAGUGUUUAAAGCAGGCAUUUCUGCUUGAAUACAUUAGCAUGGAAUAAUAAAAUAGGACGGCAUGGUUCUAUUUUGUUGGUUUCUAGGACCACCGUAAUGAUUAAUAGGGAUAGUUGGGGGCAUUAGUAUUCAAUUGUCAGAGGUGAAAUUCUUGGAUUUAUUGAAGACUAACUACUGCGAAAGCAAUUUGCCAAGGAUGUUUUCAUUAAUCAAGAACGAAAGUUAGGGGAUCGAAGACGAUCAGAUACCGUCGUAGCCUUAACCAUAAACUAUGCCGACUAGGGAUCGGAUGAUGUUAAUUUUAAUGUACUCAUUCGG